CAUGAACUUUAAAAUAAAAGUAAUUUAUUUUAAUUUUACUUUUCCUUUGUGUCUGAGAUUGUGAUCAUCAUAUCAUGCCUUCUUUUAAUUGCUUUCUUGUGCGAUCAUUGAACUAUAUACUGAAGGAACCAUGCGUUGUUAUUUUCUAGUACUUUGAAUGAUUUUACACUUCUGGUGUUUUUUUUGCUAAUGUUGACUUGAAUUGGGUUAACAGAGCUCCUGUUAAUUAGCUAUUUGUCUGACAAGUCUAACAGAUGGAUCAACAAUAUGUAUAAAUUUGUGGUAAAUUAGAACUAAUAUAUAUACACUUUAGUAGUGGUGGAGCAACGAUUUUCACUAAGAGCUAUCAAAAUAUAUAAAAAAAACAUAAAAAAAUAAAGGGGAUUCGACUUUAUAUAGUAUUAAUACAUGAAAGAAACUUUUGUCUAGCUAUACUAGUGAAAUUUUCUAGUGUUGGUAACUUGGUUAAAGGUGGCUCCGCCACUACACUUUACAACAACAACAAACUAAGUGUAAUCCCACAGGUGAAGGCUGUUUCCGAUAGUCCCUUGUCUCGAGGAACAGUAAAAAUAACGCAAAUGCCACUACACUUUAGGGUAUUACUAAUAAUGCAUUGACUAUAGUAUGUUGUAUGGCCUCUAGAAUAUUUUGCUUCUUCCCUCUCCCGUCAUGUGGUAUUGUUCACUUUUUUCUGAAAAUUAUGAUGCAUGUUUGAUAUAAGUGAUACUAUUGGUUUAUUACAAGAUUAAGGCCAGUGUAAGUUGCUUCUGUUGUAGCCUAACUUGGCUUCUCUGAAGUUUUAACUAGCUAGAAUAAAUCGGUAAAAGCGAAAGCCAUAUAUUUUCUUGACAGACUUAAAGUUUUAUAUGCAGAAAAGUGUAAUUUUUUUUUUUUUACAGUAUUAGGUCUUUUAAAAGCCAACUACAUGGAAGUUGUCUAUAAUAAGCAUGCUCAGUGGCAUGUUAAUGAUGGUAACCUGUUUAACUAGAACUACAUUUAUAAUGUAAAAAGUAAUUGUUGUUGGUGUAUAUAACUUAAAUUCUUCUUUGAUUGAGCUUUUGAACAUUUAAUACCAUUAUUUUCACUAUCAUUCCCAUGUAUUUAUCUGUGUUUCCAUGUUUAGGGGCCUCGGGUUGGUGGGAGUUAUUUUUGAUACUAGGCUUACUCUUCUGUUUACCUUAAGGUGUUUCAUCUGAAAGGUGAUUAGUAGACUCAAAUGACGGGUAAACAAUUGGACUGGCAUGACUGGGAAAUGCUUUCUAGAAUUUUUACUGUGAGAUUGGGGCUUGAUACUCUGACAAUGAUUGGUUUUGUUAAAAAUGGAUUAAAAUGUUAACUUUUAGGACUGGCUGCUUCCCACUCUAACUUUCCAAAUCUGUUUCUUACUUUCAAACCAUAAAGAAGAAAAAGAAAGGUUAAAUUUUAGGCCUGCAUUAUUAAUGUUUGAGAUAAUUUAUAAAUUCCUUCUAGCAGAACAAAAGAAAGAAAUCUCAUGCUUGGAAGAUUACAUUAAACAAUGCAGAGAUUGUUUAUAAGUUAAACAUGUACUGAUAAAUAGUCUCCAUUUUGUUGGCUUUGUAAAGCAAGAAAUGAGUUUACUUUUGCCGGGAAGAGUACUUAACUUUUGCUACUUAAAAUGAGAAGGUUUCAUUUUGGCAACUGACUUAAAUAGUGUCACGGGUUCGAACUGUGGAAUCAGCCAUCGAUGUUCGUAUCAGGGCAGGCUGCCUACAUCACACCCCCUUGGGGUGCGGCCCUUCUCCGGACCUUGCGUAAAUGCGGGAUGCUUUGUGUACUGGAGUGCUCUUUUUUGUAGAGUGUGAUGCACUUGCUCCACUCCACUGUUAUCAGUGGCGCGCUUAAGCCCUAACUGAAAACACUUUGAGCGCUUCGCCUCGUUUAGCGGACGCUUUAGUGUUGUCAUCAAAGCUCUAAGACAUAUUUUUCCUUGCUAAUGAACGUAAUCCUGAAGAGGCGACAUUAAACAAUUGAUAUUUCACUUUAUUGUAAAUUUUCUUUAAUUUCUUUGUCCAUAUAGUUGGUAUUCAUGCUUAUAAUUUUAGUCUUGGACUACACAUACAUAUUUGUAGUUUUUCUCUACUGUGUCUUUCUUCAUUAAAGCCCACGCUUUAUUUGCUCUUUGAGCUUAAAGCCCCAACAAACCUUAGAGCUUUUUUACGCUUUUCGCCUUUGCUAACACUGCUACACUUCUUUAGUACUUUAGAAGGUGACAAUUUCUUUCUUCUGUUCUUCCUGUUAUUUGAUACUGAUUUUAGAGAGGAUUCAUUUAGGGGUCUGUUUUUCUUUCUUUUGUUGCUCAAUUGUGUCUCAUUUAGUUAGUUUCAUAAUUUUCCAUUGAAAACCUCUGAUUCAUUGAUUGGUUUUCACUUACCUAAUUCAACUGUACGUCUUUGCUCAUUUCAAGGUCCAAUGUUUAGAUGACUCCCCGCAGCAUGAGCGGGAGUAUCAAGCUAUGAACUUAUCAUCAUAGGUAACUAAGUUGAACUUUUUUAGUGCCAUGGGUUCUGGUUACAUUCGCUUGUCCUAUCUGCUCAUUUAUGUUUUGUUUGGGAGGUAAGAAGCAAAGAAAAAUGAAGGGACAAGAACAAUUCUUUUCACUAGACCAAAGCCCGUGUUGGGGUUGUGAUGGUUCCAGAAAACUACUAGUACUAUCUUAGGAGUUUCCUUAUUCUUUGUCAUAAAAGACUGGCAAUCUUGAUGCCUGAGCAGCUAUCGUGUGGAUCCGGGAUGAUGUAUUCUAGUAUUUUAAGCCUCAUGUCAUCUCUAAUAUAUGCGUAGUCUGCUAGACAUGUUAGUGGCUCGCCAAGAUUUACUGAUGUGUUCACUGAGGCACAAGUUUAAAAUGGAGAGGUGCUGCUUAAUAAUGAUUGAUUUGCCGUAUUCUGGGUAGAGCUCUGUAAUCGGGUCUGUUUGUGAUUUAAAUUGAAGUGUGACCUUGAAUUUAGUUUGCUUAGAUUUUUAUUGUCAGAUUAUAUUUGUUCAAUUUCAUCACAAACACAUAUUCCUUUAUGUGAAUGCAAAUAUGGAACAGGAUGGAUAUAGUCAGACGUAUGCAACCUUAUCUUCGGAUGUUUCUUGCAAAUGUCCAUUUUCAUUCUUUAAUCCUAUCAUAUCUAAAGUUUGGUCCCUAAGUCAUCCUUCUCUGUCGCGUUCUCUCUAUCAGAAAUUAUUAAAUAGGGAAGGUCAGGAUUGGUAUAUGAACUCAUACAAGGACAACCAGUUAAAUAGUUGGUAUUCCUGACUUAUCCUUCUUAAUUUAUUGAGUAAUUUUCACAUCUUCUCAGUUAGCAAACGGCUGUGAAGCCAUUCUUUCGCUUAAAGACGAUAAUGGUCCUUGUAGUUUAUUCUUCAACAAUUUUCCUUUGUAGUUUUUCCUUGUAAAAACCUCGUGACAAGGGCAUAUUUUUGUCAUUGUGGAGACAAAAGCCAAGGUUAGGUAAGGGGGGAAUGACAAGCAUUAAGUUCCAUAUGGAAAGAACAAACAACUGAUGGAGUUUUCUAUGUAAAACUAUGAGUUAAGCAGAUUGCUGAAACUUUGUUCUGGAAAUUCUUUCUUGUCAUUUUUGUAAUCCUCUGGCCCACCCUCCCAAACAUUGAACGAAUAACGAAAUACUGGCAUGAAGUUUUUUUCCUUUUAAAAUGUUUUUCCAUUUGGCUGCAGAAUUAUUUUAGAGCUUUCUGAUUGCAUAGGAUUUACGUCAUGAGGGACAGGUGGCCAAGAGGUAAAAAGUGGCUUAAAUUGUCAUCUGUAGAAACAAUUGCUCUUGAACAGCUGAGACGAAGCACAACAUCAAGGGAAACAAAACAAGAAAUGGAAAAUAAUUUAGAGACCAAGGGAACUUGGCUUCCUUAUGACUUGCUUUUUAAGGUUUUUCUUCUACUUCCAGCUGAAACUCUCUGCAGACUCCGUUGCGUAUGCAGGACACUUCUUAACAUGAUCAACAGUCCGGCUUUUGUUGAAGCUCACUUUCGUCAAUCUGAGACAGUUCUAAUUACUCAGAAGUCCUUUCGCGAGGAAAACAUACGGUCACCUUUUCCACUACCUUCAGAUAAGCCAAAUCAAUGUUACUUCCAUUUCUGGGACAUCCAUAGCGGUAAAGGCCACAAAGUUUGUAUGCCAAAUUUGAGGAACUUAGAGUGUGUUUUGGCUGCCUGCAACGGUUUGGUCCUGGCUAGAAUUAAGAAAAACGGAGGUCUAGUAGUUGUAAAUCCAAGUACAAGGAACCACAUUAGAAUGCCUCUUGGUACAAUUGGUUUCGCGCAGGAGUGCUACGGGUUCAUGUUCAGCCACUUCACAGGUGCUUAUAAAGUAGUACACUUGUUCCGCGACGAACAUAGACACAUCCGCUGUGAGAUCCUGAACCUUACUACAAGAUCAUGGCAUGCAGUGGAUGGACCUAAUUCAGGAGAAUUCGGAUCAAUCAGUACCACUCGUAGAUCUGUUUCAGCAGUUGGAGCUUUGUAUUGGCUUCCAAAAAGGGACAGUUGUAACCAUGCUGUGUCUUUGGGAUUUCAUGAUGAGAAGUUCCAAACUGUACCUCUACCAAUCAACAGCACAAAAAACGAUCGUCUUGUUGAGAUUGGAGGCACCCUGAGCUUCAUAACUCAUGCGACGUUGAAUUUGAUUCAGGUAUGGAUCUUGAAGGACGGCUUAAGGGAAAAUUGGAUAAAGAGAUAUAGCAUCAAUAGGUUCUAUGAUAUCACAGGAUUUGUUCCACUUUGUGCUUCGACAACGGAAAUAUUUUUCAAGAGAAGAGGAAACCCUUUGUUACAUAUAUACAAUAUUGAAGCUGAAGAAAUGCAGGAGGUUAAUGUUGGAGAUGUGCAAAUUUACAUGCCUCAUGUAAAGUCACUUGUUUCAUGGGAUAGUCCUCAAGUUGUAUAUUUGUUUGAACAUUUCGAGGUGAUUUUACCUGCAUGCUCCGUGGAUGAGUUAGUUACCAUGCUAUUGAGGUUUUGUUAAGCUCCAGGAUUUAAUUCGAGUUUUGUAAUGGGAGUUUAACGAAGGAGGUGAACUUGUAAGGUACACACUCUUGAGUCUCAAUGUUUGUGAAGUUGAUUUGAAGAAUGAAAUGAAAGACAGAAUUUAAAGCUUAGCAUUCGCUUGUUCUGUUGAUUCAGUAGUGUUAUUUUGAUUUCGUUUUCUUGACUUGAUGUGUUAUAUUGUUCAAUUGAGUUCUAUCUUGAACAAGUGAGAUUUUACUAUUGUGUUUAAUUUGGGACUGUCAUGAAACUGGAAGAAUGAUUUGCUUGGUUGAA